CAAUAGCGUAUAUUAAAGUUGUUGCAGUUAAAAAGCUCGUAGUUGUAUUUGUGGCGUGCGUUGGGCUCCCUUUCCCUAUCGGGAUAUGGUGUUGCCUGGCGUUGCCAUCCUUGGGUGGAAUCUGUGUGGCAUUAGGUUGUCGUGCAGGGGAUGCCCAUCGUUUACUGUGAAAAAUUAGAGUGUUCAAAGCAGGCUUACGCCGUUGAAUAUAUUAGCAUGGAAUAAUAAGAUAGGACCUUGGUACUAUUUUGUUGGUUUGCGCACCGAGGUAAUGAUUAAUAGGGACAGUUGGGGGUAUUCGUAUUCCAUUGUCAGAGGUGAAAUUCUUGGAUUUUUGGAAGACGAACUACUGCGAAAGCAUUUACCAAGGAUGUUUUCAUUAAUCAAGAACGAAAGUUAGGGGAUCGAAGAUGAUUAGAUACCGU
rnacentral:rRNA from 1 species